AGCUUUUUGUAUCCGUGCUAAAAUUUCAUAACACACCAGAACACCAAGUCUGAUCAAACUCUCAAAAUAAGUGAAGCA
rnacentral:pre_miRNA from 1 species